UACGAAGGGGCUAGCGUUACUCGGAAUUACUGGGCGUAAAGGGCGCGUAGGCGGCGUUCCAAGUUAGGCGUGAAAGUCCUGGGCUCAACCUGGGAACUGCGCUUAAGACUGGAAUGCUAGAGGAUGGAAGAGGGUUGUGGAAUUCCCAGUGUAGAGGUGAAAUUCGUAGAUAUUGGGGAAGAACACCGGUGGCGAAGGCGGCAACCUGGUCCAUUUC
rnacentral:rRNA from 1 species